UGCUUUUGUGUGUUUUUCAUUUAACUCAUGGACAAACUUAUAAACAGGUGCAAAUAUUAAACCUCUUUUUUGCAAUCUAAAACUCAUUGUUCAGUAUGAGUCUUGAUACAUAUAAGAAAGAAUAUU